UAAUACAGAGGGUGCGAGCGUUGUUCGGAAUCAUUGGGCGUAAAGGGCGUGUAGGCGGUUUGUUAAGUCAUGUGUGAAAUCCCUCGGCUCAACCGGGGAAGGACGCAUGAAACUGACAAGCUAGAGUACCAAAGAGGGGGGUGGAAUUCCCGGUGUAGCGGUGAAAUGCGUAGAUAUCGGGA
rnacentral:rRNA from 1 species